rnacentral:rRNA from 1 species
UACAGAGGUCUCAAGCGUUGUUCGGAUUCAUUGGGCGUAAAGGGUGCGUAGGCGGCGCGGUAAGUCGGGUGUGAAAUUUCGAGGCUUAACUUCGAAACUGCAUUCGAUACUGCCGUGCUUGAGGACUGGAGAGGAGACUGGAAUUUACGGUGUAGCGGUGAAAUGCGUAGAUAUCGUAAGGAAGACCAGUGGCGAAGGCGGGUCUCUGGGCCGUAACUGACGCUGAGGAGCGAAAGCAUGGGGAGCGAACAGG